UAUCAAGAAUUUUAAACAUUACAUCCCGUAAGUUGGGACGUAAUUCUCUUUCUUGAUUUCUCAAAAAUUUACCAACAUUGUUCUUAUCCCCAAAACUACAAAUCCAACAAAUCUAAAAUUUUUUAAACUUAUUAGCAUAUGCAUAGUUUUAUAUAAGAUUAUAUCAAAAGUGAUUGCCAAUCGUUUUCAAAAAGUUUUAGAUGUAUGCAUUGCCCAAAGUACUUUUGUGCCAAGAAGACUCAUUACAGAUAAUGUCAUUUUAGCUUAUGGGUUAAUGCAUACACCCAAGCAAAGAAGAAUAUAGCAACAUGGAAGUUUAGCGCUAAAAUUAUACAUGAAUAAGUCUUCCAAUAGAGUGGAAUGGGUCUUUUUGAAAAAAGUUUUGAAAAAUUUAAGGUUUAUAAAGUCUUUUGUGACUAUAAUGAUGGGAUGUGUUACAUCGAUAAGUUAUUCGAUUUGUCUAAAUGUAGAGCUUGGCGAAAGAUUCAAACCAAUGAGAAGAUUGAGACAAGUUAACCCGUUAAGCCCUUAUUUAUUCUUAAUUUGUAGCAAGGGGUUAUCAUCGUUAAUAAGGCUAGCUAUAUAGGAUGGUAAAAUUAAGGGGGCUAAGGUGCGUCGAAAAGGACCUACUAUUACUCGUCUCCUCUUUGCAGACGAUUGCAUUCUUUUUGGAGAUGCCAUGGAAAGGGGAGCUCAUAACCUUAAAAUAAUUUUACGAGAAUAUGAGUGCUGUUUUGGUCAAUGCAUAAAUUUUUACAAGUCAGUGGCAUUUUUUAGUUCAAACGUUUAGGAACAAAAGAGGGAGCAAAUUGCAGGUAUAUUUGGAAGUCCAAACUUUUAGAGAUCUAGAAAAAUACUUGUGAUUGCCUAAUAUGAUAGGGAGGGACAAAAAAAGGAAUUUCCAAUUACUAAAAGAUAAGAUGAUGAGUAAAAUUAAAUGUUGUGUCCGAGACUCUUGUUGGUUAGAGGAAGGGAGGUUUUUAUAAAAGCAAUUUUAUAUACAAUUCCCACUUAUGCGAUGGCAUGCUUUUUGUCACCAAAAUCGUUUUGUACAGAAUUGGAAAACAUUAUGAGUCGAUUUUGGUGGCAAAAAAGUCACGACAAACGGGGGAUCCAUUAGUGUGAGUGGAGAAGGCUUGGUAAACUAAAAGAGGACGGAGGAAUGGGAUUUCAGUGUUUAUAAAAUUUUAAUGUAGCAAUGUUAGCAAAACAAGGGUGGCGUUUGAUUUGUUAUUAGGAUUCAUUAUUAGCAAAAUCAUUAAAAUCAAAGUACUAGCCAAAUUCUAAUUUCAUGCAAGUUAGGUUGGGGACAUUACCAUCCUAUACCUAGAGGAGUAUAUGGGAGGUAAAAGGACUCCUUGAAAAAGGUUUUUGCUGACGAAUUGGAUCAGGAAAACAUGUUCAAAUUUGGGAUGAAGCUUGGAUCCCAGGCACUAACGACUACAAAUUAGAGAAUUCAAAUAUUGAUCAAUGGUUGGGACAUGUAUCAAAGCUUAUUGAAUAGGAUACAAACAAAUGGAAAGAAGAGUUCAUAAGGAGUACCUUUCACCCCACAGACGCCGAAAUUAUCCUGUGCAUCGCCCUUCAUUUAGAGGGGGAAAUGGAAAGAAUGGUUUGGUGCGGUGAAACGUCAGGCAAGUAUAGAAUGCGGAGUGGGUAUAAAAUUUUAAUAUAGACCAAAAGCCAAACAAAUAUGUAAGCUAACCACAAUUAUUACAAGCCACUGUACAAAAAACUAUGGUCGAUUGAUUUUCCCUCAAAAACAAAAUUCCUAGUCUAGAAAACUCUAAAUAAUUAUCUACCUACUUUCUCUAAUUUUUUCCAAAGAAGAUUGGCCAGUAGUAGUAAUUGCCCUAGAUGCAUCAACUAUCCCGAAACUACAUAUCAUGUAUUCAAGGACUGCCCUUUUGCUGUUGCAGUUUGGUCAAGGUUGGGCUUUAGAUGGUCCCUAAAACAAAAUCAAUUGCAAUAUAAGGACUGGGUGAAGAUGUUGUUUCAAAAAGAAUCAAGUCAACAAAUAAAGAUUAUUGUAGGGACCAUUUAGGGGUUUUGGAUGGCUAGGAAUAAAUUGGUACAUGAGAAUUUGGUUCAGUUUGAAACCUGCCUAAUUCAGUUUAUCCAAAGCUAUAUAAAGGAAAUUGAUGGAGUAAAGAAGAAAUUACCUGUGAACCCAGUACAAAAGGAAAAUUGGAAACCCCCGGAAGGAUUGAAUGUAAAAAUUAACUUCGACGCUGCUUUCGACAGACAGAAAAAAAGAUCAUGCAUUGGAAUUGUGAUCAGAAAUUCUGACGGUGACAUCCUAAAAUCAAUAAUCUAUGAAAACGAGCACAUAUCGACAACCUUUGCAGCCGAGGCUCUCGCAUGCGUCCAAGUAGGGAGAUUUAGGGCAGAAUCUGGUUUCCUACGAGUUGAAAUUGAAGGCGAUGCGUUAUCUAUAUUUUGGAAAAUACAAAGAUAAGAUGAAGAUAGAUAAAAUAUAAGGGCCUUUAUUUCUGAUGCAAAACGAAUGAGAAGGAACUUUAUCUCUUGUAGAUUUCAACAUGCAAGUAGACAAGCAAACUUAGUGGCCUAUUCCCUAGCAAUAGAAGGGUUAAAAUAUAGAGAAAAUACUCAUCUGAAUAUGAUCGGACCUAGUGUGGUCGUUAGGGUCGAUGCGAAUGAUAGGAAUGGUGUCACCGAAGGUAGCAGAGGGGUUAGGACUUAAAAUCAGGACAUGAGAAGGGCUGUUAAAAGAAAAAGGGAAAACAUAUCAGGGAAAGGAACGUUGAGUUGUAAAUUAUUAGAAUAAGAAAUGGGAUAAUAUAAAGGACGGGUACCUCAGAUAAACAGAUGGUAGAAAUCCGGCAACAAAUAAUGCGAGUUAAGUCCGCCAUUAAAGAGGUACGAGUCAUGUAAUGAGGGUGGAGUGUGUGGAUUUGCUUCGAAGCAUUGAAAGGACGAAAUAGGUAAAGAAGACGGAGGAAGCACAUAAAUGGAAUUGGGUGCUGGUUUGAUUUUUUAGGGUUUGUUACUUUUUUGUUGUUUUUUCUUAGGAUCUGGA
rnacentral:lncRNA from 1 species